GACGAACGCUGGCGGCGUGCUUAACACAUGCAAGUCGAACGAUGAAACCUAGCUUGCUAGGUCGAUUAGUGGCGAACGGGUGAGUAACACGUGACUAACCUGCCCCUUUCUCUGGGAUAACGCUCCGAAAGGAGUGCUAAUACCGGAUACUCACAUCGAGGCACAUGCCUUGAUGUGGAAAGUUUUUCGGAAAGGGAUGGAGUCGCGGCCUAUCAGCUUGUUGGUGAGGUAACGGCUCACCAAGGCGACGACGGAUAGCCGGCCUGAGAGGGCGACCGGCCACCCUGGGACGGAGACACGGGCCAGACUCCUACGGGAGGCAGCAGUGGGGAAUAUUGCACAAUGGGCGCAAGCCUGAUGCAGCGACGCCGCGUGAGGGAUGAAGGUCUUCGGAUUGUGAACCUCUUUCAGUAGGGACGAAGCGAAAGUGACGGUACCUAAAGAAGAAGCACCGGCUAACUACGUGCCAGCCGCCGCCGUAA
rnacentral:rRNA from 1 species